rnacentral:rRNA from 1 species
UUGCACAAUGGGGGAAACCCUGAUGCAGUGACGCCGGCGUGAACGAUGAAGCCCUUCGGGGUGUAAAGUUCUUUCGGCAGGGAAGAUAAUGACGGUACCUGCAGAAGCAGCUGCGGCUAACUACUUGCCAGCAGCCGCGGUAAUACGUAGGCAGCGAGCGUUGUUCGGAGUUACUGGGCGUAAAGGGUGUGUAGGCGGCUUUCUAAGUUUGGUGUGAAAUCUCCCGGCUCAACCGGGAGGGUGCGCCGAAAACUGGGAGGCUAGAGUGUGGGAUGGGAGAGUAGAAUUCCUGGUGUAGCGGUGAAAUGCGUAGAUAUCAGGAGGAAUACCGGUGGUGUAGACGGCUCUCUGGACCACAACUGACGCUGAAACACGAAAGCGUGGGUAGCAAACAGGAUUAGAUACCCUGGUAGUCCACGCCCUAAACGAUGCAUAUUUGGUGUAGGUCAUUCAGUUGAUCUGUGCCGGAGCUAACGCGUUAAAUAUGCCGCCUGGGGAGUACAGUCGCAAGGCUGAAACUCAAAGGAAUUGACG